UGCAUACUCCCUCCAUUCGGAAUUACUUGUCGAAAUAAUGGAUGUAUCUACAUGUAUUUUAGUUCUAAAUACAUCCAUUUCCAAGACAAGUAAUUCCGAACGAAGGGAGCAUAUA
rfam:Triticum aestivum genome assembly, contig: Triticum_aestivum_CS42_TGACv1_scaffold_194089_3AL